ACAGAAUGUGAAAAAUCUAGGAAUUCACAUUGUAGGAAUUUUAAAGAAUUUAUUUGUAAAUGAUGGUGGAAAAUAAGUGUUUGGUCAACCAUUCAAAGCUCUCAGUGAUGGAAGGAGGUUUUGGCUCAAAAUCUCCCGAUACAUGGCCCCAUUCAUUCUUUCCUUAACACGGAUCAAUCGUCCUGUCCCCUUAGUAGAAAAAAAACAACCUCAAAGCAUGAUGUUUCCACCCCCAUGCUUCCACAGUAGGUGUGGUGUUCUUGGGAUGCAACUCAGUAUUCUUCUUCCUCCAAACACAACGAGUUGAGUUUAUACCAAAAAGUUAUAUUUUGGUUUCAUCUGACCACAUGACAUUCUCCCAAUCCUCUGCUGUAUCAUCCAUGUGCUCUCUGGCAAAGUUCAGACGGGCCUGGACAUGCACUGGCUUAAGCAGGGGGACACAUCUGGCACUGCAGGAUUUUAUUCCCUUUCGGCGUAGUGUGUUACUGAUGGUAACCUUUAUUACUUUGGUCCCAGCCUUCUGCAGGUCAUUCACCAGGUCCCCCCGUGUGGUUUUGGGAUUUUUGCUCACCGUUCUCAUGAUCAUUUUGACCCCACGGGAUGAGAUCUUGUGUGGAGCCCCAGAUCGAGGGAGAUUAUCAGUGGUCUUAUUCACGCUUCCCAGUCUGGUGCAGGUCUACAAUUCUUUUCCUGGUGUCCUUCGACAGCUCUUCGGUCUUGGCCAUAGUGGAGUUUGGAGUCUGACUGUUUGAGGCUGUGGACAGGUGUCUUUUAUACAGAUAACGAGUUCAAACAGGUUCCAUUAAUACAGGUAACGAGUGGAGUACAGAAGAGCUUCUUAAAGAAGAAGUUACAGGUCUGUAAUAGCCAGAGAUCUUCCUUGUUUGAAGUGACCAAAUACUUAUUUUCCACCAUAAUUUACAAAUAAUUUAUUUAAAAUUCCUACAAUGUGAAUUCCUGGAUUUUUUCCCCACAUUCUGUCUCUCACAGUUGAAGUGUACCUAUGAUGAAAAUUACAGACCUUUGCCAUCAUUUUAAGUGGGAGAACUUGGACAAUCGGUGGCUGACUAAAUGCCCCACUGUAUAUAUAUUUUUUUUAAAUUAAAUUUGGCCAAAUGGGGCGCAUUUGAAUUUCUUACACACACUUGUUCUUACAUAUGUUGGCCAGAGGGGGAGCACUUUUAAAACCAACACACAGUCAAUUUGAAAAAUCUUUCCUUUUUGGACCACCCUAAUUUUGAUAGAUUUCACCACCAAAUGAGACAUUCUCUAUUAGAUGCAAUGGUUUUCCGUAUUAGGACCAUGAUUUAUGUCCUAACUUUUUCACCGGUCCUCAUAUGGAAGCUACUUUUCCUUGUGUAUGUCUCAAGAAGGGUAGAAAUACAAGAAUACAAUUGAAAAUGAAAUUACAUUUUAUCAGUUUAUGAUCAUGAUAUAUGUUGUGCCUUUCCGGCCCACCAAUGCUAUCUCCUAUACGUGAAUAUACUUCAGAGUAGUCAGUGUGCAACUUGUAUGGACUUACCAUGGCUCAACACAGCGAGUACCAAAAUGGUCUGGUGGUGGUGGUGGUGUUAUUGUCUGGGGCUGCAAGAGUUCUACCAGCACUAAGGGGAGCUGUGGUUCAUUGAGUCGAAACAUGAAUUCCAACAUGUCCUGUGACAUUUUUUCUCAUGUUUUUCGUACUACUUCCUGUUAUAACAGUUUCAUGAAAAAUCCACCGAUGUCUUUUUCAAAUCUUUAUUCCAUGUUAAUACCAUAAAUAUACAAAACUGAAAACUAUUUCACAUGCGACAAAGGCCAGACAAGAGUGCAUUAAAUUUUCUUUUUUUUUUUUACACGCCACUCCAUUAAGGGCAUCAACUGAUCAUCUUUACAAAAUAUACAAGUACAGUAUUCCUUUUAAAUUAGGGUGAGGUCUCUCAUUCAGUGAACUAACAAAUGGUGACAGGUCAAGAACAUUUUAGAGUGUUGACCCGCCUGCAAAACACAAGAGAGGGCAACUCUCAUGUUCGGCAGUAAAAGUAAUGUAGAACAUCACAAACUUUAGAAAAAAAAUCUAAAUGGACUUUUGGUAGAUUACUCACAGCUUUUGAGGAUUUACAGUAGAAUAACACUUGAGGGAUUUCUUUUUUUCUGUGUCUGUUUUGAUUCUUUCACACAAAUCAUUCAAAGCUUCCUUGCCACACAUAAUAAUACACCUUGUAAAAUACAACUUAAAAUAUGCCAUAAAUUAGAACAACUAACAUAAAAACCAAAGAAAAUGUGCUAACAAAAUUCCAAAAUACUGUGGUUAGUUUAGUCAGGGUUAGCGAUCAACACUUGCAGGCAUUUAUUUCAGUCCAACAAUUAAACGCCAGUCAUUCCCCGUCUGUCGUGCACACUCCUCACCACUAGGGGGUGUAGUAGUCUGUACAAUUUAACACUGCCAUUGUUUGGAGGUCCUCUGUGUUAUCAGUCAUCUGGGCAUCAAAAACACUAUGCGGUUGUUUAGGGCCAUAACUACUAGAGGGCGCCACAUGAUCAGAAAGUUUCAAUACACUGAUAUUUUCAAUAUCUAGUGACUCAUGAAUUCAAACCCGAGCAAUAUUAAAGACCAAAUGGGGCCACAAAAAGCCAACUACAGGUCAUAAUCCCACUUUUUUUGGGUACUUAAUGACCAUUUCACAUUUGUUUAUCAACGACAGGGGUCUCAAACUCAAUUUACCUGGGGGCCACUGGAUGCAGAAACAGAGUGAGGCUGGGCCCCAAGAAAA